UACGUAGGGUGCGAGCGUUGCCCGGAUUUAUUGGGCGUAAAGGGCGCGUAGGCGGUCACGCACGUCCGUUGUGAAAUCGCUCGGCUCAACUGGGCGGGGUCAGCGGAUACGGUGUGACUGGAGCAAGCUAGGGGGCAAUGGAAUUCCCGGUGUAGUGGUGGAAUGCGUAGAUAUCGGGAGGAACACCAGUGGCGAAGGCGACUUCCUGGCCUGUUCUUGACGCUGAGGCGCGAAAGCUAGGGUAGCAAACGGG
rnacentral:rRNA from 1 species